CUAAAGCCUAAACUCCUAUCAUCAACUCCUAGCAUGUGUUUGUUGAGGCUUCAACCUCUGGUCUGCGGCCCGGCUUGCGUCACAGCAGCCCGUCUGAGAUCAGGACAGUCAUUAACUAGACUGACUAAGACUGACAGUCUGGUUAAUCUUGUUAGAGGACAACGACUGGAAAAAAAAAACCUCCACCAGCCACCGAAAAAAUGCACCGUAAUGACUUAUUUCCGCUAACUCUACGAGGCUACAUUUUAUUUCCAAGAUACAAAAAGUCUUUUGACUUCAGCAACAGCCUCGUUCAACAGUCGGUCCUUGUGUUGAGCCAAAAAAGAAAAAUGUGAUUCAACCAUAACAGCACUGACCGCAGUGAACUGAAAACAGCCGCUUGCCCUCGGUCACCGCUCCACCUGGAGUGAGGACAGACGGUGGCGACGCCAACCGUCUGCCCACCUGCUCCACCGUGAUUAAAGCUCUAAUGGUAACAUAUGGUGUGUGGGACGUCCGCCCCGUGCUGAUCCCGGGGACAAAAGGUUUGUGUAAUCGUCAGGUGAGUUUGCUGUGCUCCUUCAAAUCCUCAUUAUAUCCUCAUUAUGUCCAAUUAAAGGGACGCUGCAGUGAUGCCUCUGCUUUUAGACCUGGUGGUUCUCACGGCAACGGGGUUUCAGCAGCAGCUGCCGUUCUCUCAGCUCUUUUUUUUUUUUUGUUUCCUUUAAACUUCCCCCUGAUCUACUGUUUGUGUCUUAUUUAUGAACUAAAUGGAGUUUUUAACCUUUAGCGUUGAUUUAUUUUCCGUCUACGUUUUUCCUCUAUACUCUGUCCACGUUUCAACUUUUUCAUGUUUAUAUUUGGAACCUGUCAAACGCAGUUGUCUUUCUUAUAUCCAGGGAGUCUUGUUAAGUUUAUUUUUUAAACCCACGCUGCAUUGUUUUGACACAUGCUGCGGUGAUGUCUUCACAUGACAGGUUUCUGUGCAGCGUUGAACCGUCGGGUCAGUGUGAACCUGGGUCGAACAUCAAACAUCCUCACCUUAAAAAGAGAAAAAUCUAUUUAUUACUCCAUCGCAGGCGGGAUUUUAACUGAUGUAAAAUAAAAACAUGGCACAUGUACUGUAUGUUUCUACAUGUAUAUUUAACAAUACAUGUAAAAAAAAAAACAAAAAAAACAUGAGGCAUUAAGCCAAAUGUAUACAGUACAUCAUUUAAGACCUAAAGCCUUUAAUUCCUUGAGUAAAGACUGUAUGUCCGCUCUGCAUAACAUCAAUAUAUUUUGGAUGUUUUCCAGGAGAAUUGAUGGCUGUUAGCAAACCUCAUCUAUGCAGUUGAAGGAAACUGAGCACCAUCUUCAUCCUCCUCCUCCUCAUCAUCAUCUUCAUCACAAUGGUGACAGCGCUCAGAUAAACGAGGACUGGUCCCUGUGCUCGCUGCUCGACCGAUGAGAUCCUUGGUCAUUUUCUGGUUGGGACGGAGGGAGAAGAGGAAGACAAUGAAGAGGAAGAGAUGGAGGAGACGACACAGACUGUGUGGUUUUACUCCUGUGUCAGGAGCCGUGGCCUUACUCCCCCACUCCCCCACUCUUCCUCGCUGGAAUCUCCGUUAUGUGCUCCAUGAAUCACACGAACAUGGCUUCAGUGUUGAUGGAAUGUGCUGAGUUUCCAGGAGAUGUCAGAAAUGUCGCCCUGGCCUGGAGUUUAAGACACCUAGAUGAUAUUCCUAAUAGUUCCGUAAAUCCAAUGUGAUCCAACAUGGCUGCCUCCAGCUGAUGUAAACAAAGAAGGGCUCGUUUGAUGACGACGUUUUGAAGACCAAGAGUUUGUUCACUCAGCCAUGUGUUCUCGGAGCUGACACCUGCAGUUCUCCUUUCACUCCUCGGCAGAAGGCAGUCUGCAGGAAUGUUGAGAGAACAAUAGGUUCCUUGCGCUGACUGCGUGUCCUUGCUGUUGUCCAUCAGUCUUUCUCCGUGUGCGUCAGUGCUCAGCCCCUGGUCCUGAGAAGUUCAGCAUCAGCAGACACAAUUCCAGGGAGAGUUUGUUCUAUGGAUUUCUGUGGCUCUGAUGGAAACGAAACACCUUAUUUUUCCUCACACGUGAAAUCGUGUGAAGAGAGUUGUGCGUAUGUGUGUGUGUGUGUGUGAGAGAGAGAGAGAAACUGCUAAGGCCAAACUGAUCAAUACAUUUUCCUCCACAAGCUCUUCAAAUUUGUCCUCUGUAGUGCUGGGUUACCAUGGUAACCCCAGUUCUUUAAACAAUGAAAUUGGGGGUGAAAAUAUGAUAUAUAUAUUUAAUUUUUGCCUUUUUCAUAUAAUCGUCUCUUGCUUUGAAAAAAAAUAUCUUGUUUAAAUUGUAGAGACUUUAGAGAGGAAUUCUGACCUGUGUCACAGUAUAAUCACAUCUGCAAAUUACUUCUUCUUUUUCCCCCCAGAGAGUCUUAUUUAUCCUCCACUACAUUAGACGGAGCUGUGAUUCCUGGAGACUCGUUGCAACACUGACAUCUAGUGGUUCUUCUGGGAGCUCCUGACUCAUUGUGAGGUCUUUCCAGAAGCUGCUGGUUCAUCUGCUCCAAUAAAAACCCCUCCGUCGUCAACACCCCAUCAUCCUGCUGCCGCCUCACCUCCAACGCACUAACGACGCCGGUCAACUUUUCAACUCAUCUCAUCGUCCACGGAGGCACUAAUGUGAUGAUGGGAGUCAUAAUGUGGGAGCUGAGGGUGGAAAUCACCAAAACAAAAAGUCCACACAGCCGUGCUGCCGUUCA